AUUCCCCUAGUAACGGCGAGUGAAGCGGGAAGAGCUCAAAUUUGAAAUCUAGUAGCCUUCGGCUGCUCGAGUUGUAAUCUAGAGAAGUGUUUUCCGUGCCGGCCCAUGUACAAGUCCCUUGGAACAGGGCGUCAUAGAGGGUGAGAAUCCCGUCCUUGACAUGGACCCCCGGUGCUCUGUGAUACACUUUCAACGAGUCGAGUUGUUUGGGAAUGCAGCUCAAAAUGGGUGGUGAAUUCCAUCUAAAGCUAAAUAUUGGCGAGAGACCGAUAGCGAACAAGUACCGUGAGGGAAAGAUGAAAAGCACUUUGGAAAGAGAGUUAAACAGUACGUGAAAUUGUUGAAAGGGAAACGAUUGAAGUCAGUCAUGCUCUUUGGUAUUUAUAUCAUUGAGUGGGGUCAACAUCAGUUUUGAGCGAUGGAUAAAGGCACUAGGAAGGUAGCACUCUCGGGUGAACUUAUAGCCUAGCGUCAUAUACAUUGUUUGGGACUGAGGAACGCAGCAUGCCUUUAUGGCCGGGAUUCGUCCACGUACAUGCUUAGGAUGUUGACAUAAUG
rnacentral:rRNA from 1 species